AGUGAACGCUGGCGGUAGGCCUAACACAUGCAAGUCGAACGGCAGCACAGUAAGAGCUUGCUCUUACGGGUGGCGAGUGGCGGACGGGUGAGGAAUACAUCGGAAUCUACUUUUUCGUGGGGGAUAACGUAGGGAAACUUACGCUAAUACCGCAUACGACCUACGGGUGAAAGCAGUGGAUCUUCGGACCUUGCGCGAUUGAAUGAGCCGAUGUCGGAUUAGCUAGUUGGCGGGGUAAAGGCCCACCAAGGCGACGAUCCGUAGCUGGUCUGAGAGGAUGAUCAGCCACACUGGAACUGAGACACGAUCCAGACUCCUACGGGAGGCAGCAGUGGGGAAUAUUGGACAAUGGGCGCAAGCCUGAUCCAGCCAUACCGCGUGGGUGAAGAAGGCCUUCGGGUUGUAAAGCCCUUUUGUUGGGAAAGAAAAGCAGCAGGUUAAUACCCCGCUGUUCUGACGGUACCAAAAGAAUAAGCACCGGCUAACUUCGU
rnacentral:rRNA from 1 species